AAUACAUUGUUACUGUUAGAGCAAAAAAAAAAUUUUUUUUUUAACAAAAAAUAGAAGGCACAGUAGGGAACAAAGGAAUCAGAGUCUGGCCAUUGAGAGCUUAAGGGUGGCCAACACACAGAUGAAACAUACUUAAGCCACUGAGAUUUCUUUGGAUCUACCAAAAAAACCCACAAACCAUAAAACUAUAAUGGCUUUGGCUCCCAAACUAGAAUUUCUGUGCUCUAAAAGCUGAUCAUCCAGGAAACUCUAUAAACCACAUUGUCUGAUCAAUCACAAAACCUGUUCCUCACCCAUGGUUAAAAAGGAGCUAAACGUUUUUCUGUAAACUGAUUUUGUGUUAGUGGCUAUCCCAGUAAAACUAUCACAUGAGAUUCACAUAUAUACAACUUUUACAACAAUCUGUUUCCAUAAACACUGUUAUGACAGUAUCAACAAUUUACAGGGCAUUAAUCUGGUACUACAACUUUUUUUUUGCAGUGCUGGCAAUUGAAUCCAAGGCAUCACACAUGCCAGGCAAGUGCUCUCCCAUCCAACAAUAAUUCCCAGCUCCUAGUAUUGUGAUGUUUAAAUGCCCCACUGUAACGUAUCAAAAUCACAAAAGUUGAGGUCACCCAUGGGAAAACUAUCUCUAUGUCAUCUCACACUGAAAAGAGUUAGAAAAUUAAGAAGCUAGUGAGAGUGGAGUUUGGACCCAAAGUGUAGAAUCAGUAGGUAACUUGGCAAUAUCUACAUAUAAAAAUAUCCAUAACCUUUGAUGAGAAAUGCCAUAUCUAGGAAGGAGGGACAUAUGUAACAACAUGCUAAAUAUUAAAACAGCAAUUAAUAACUCGACUUUGCUGAAGGGGUAUACAUGAGGUAUCCAAAACAACAUCUCUCCCUCCUCUUUUCCCAUCUACAUUCAGACCUGGACCUGGACAUGCUCAACCGUCGCAAAGGCUUAAGAGUCCUCAUGCUGGCUGAUUGGGUCUCAAUUUGGCCUUAGUUCACUGAGCUUGGCCAUGGGGACUCUACACAGCCAGGUGAAUGGCAUUUCACAAAAAUAAAGUUCCAAGAAUUGUGGUAUCCAAAUCACUGUGACUCCCCUCAUGUAGCUCAGCAGAUCCCACCUAGAAUGAGCCAAAGCAAGAGGCUUGGACAGUCAGCUCUUAAUGUAUGGAAAUGAUGAGGGACGAAAAAGUACUAUGGCAACUGCUCAGUAAAGCACAUUUCACUUUUCUUACACCAAAAAUGAUUUGGAUAUUUAAAACUGAUAUAACUGGGCUGGGCAUUUAGCUCAGUGGUUCUGCUGCCUGCCUUGCAACUGCAAGGUCCCGAGUUUUGAUCGCCAGUACCCCCCUCAAAAAAGUAAAUUAAAAACAUAAAAUUGAUAUAACUGAUUAACUCAAUGAUUCUGUGCUUUAAGAACUGCACUGCACUGCUGUCAUUUCAACCAGGAAAGAUACAAAAAUAGCAGAGUUCCCAUAUAUUCCCCAUUCCGUUGCCUGUAAUGUUAACAUCUUACAUUACUAUGGGACAUUUGUCAUAACUGAAGAACCAAUGCUGGCACAUUACUUUAAACUAAACUGCAUAAUUUAUUCAUAUUUCACUACUUUUUCUCUAGUGUCCUUUUCUAUUCCAGCAUGCCUUCCAAGAUCAUGUUAGUCAUCCCGUCUCCUUAAGCAUCCUCUCAGACUUCCCUUGUUUAUAAUGACCUUGACAGCUUUGAAGAAUGCUAAUCGGGCAUCUAUUUCAUACAGUGUUCCUCCUGGAGGACAUAAUCAUUUCACCCAUGCAUUAAACUAAGGUUACAGGUUUGGGGGAGGAUGACUAGUGUUAUGUCCCGCAAAGAACCAUGUAUGAUGGGCAACCUUUCAGAGCUUUCAAUGAUAACAAACAGCCUGCUGCUCCAUGUGUGCCUUAGGUUUGCAACCACUGUGCCAGAGGCUUGGUUGUCAGCCUAUGGCACAACUGGGAGGUGGUGGAACCUUUAGGAAGUGGGGGAAGGUUGGGUCAGUGGGGGACAUGCCCUGAAAGGGUUAUUGAGACCGCCUGCUCCUCUUCUCUUUGCUUUCCAUCCACAAUGUGAGGUGAGCAGCCUUCUUGCCUUCUCCACCAUGUACUCUUGUCAUGACAGAAUCUACUGCCACAGGCCCAAAAUGACAGGAUCAGGUGACCAUAGACUGAAACUGUGAGCCAAAAUAAACCUUUCUUCCUUACAAGUUGACUGAUCUCAGGUCUCUGUCAUGGUGAAAGGAAAUUGAGUAACACUCAUCACUUGACAUGACAUAACGUUAAAGGUAUCUGCUAUCAACUCCCCAUCACCAACGAUGUUAGCUUUGAUAGGUAGGUGGUGUUUGCCAGGUUUUUCUAUUACAAACUUACUUUCCCAUUCUUUUCCGUACUCCAUACUUAGUUAUUAAGUGUAGCCACUCAGAGGUGGGUAGUCAUGUUCAACCCUGAAUUCAAGAAUAGCCACAUAAAUUUUGUGGAAUUCUUCUCUCUGGGAAGCUUAUCUUUUCUCUCAUUUUUCCAAUUAUUUACAUCAAAAUGGGCCCACAAAUACUGAUACUUUGCGCAAUAAUGCAAUAAGUAUUUACUUCAUUGCGCCAAUUGUCCCAGCUUGGCUAACGAGAGUAAUUUCAGGAUGGUUCCCUUGUCCCUCUGACAUACCCCACCAUUUUGUGUUUUGAACAUUUUUUUUCUGCUUUUUCAUAUUUUUACCACCAAAAUGUCUCACUUUAAAGGGGAAGAGGGGCAGAAUAAGUGUUGAAUUAUGUCCCCCUAAGAUUUAUGUAUGUGAAGGUCCUAUCUGCCAGUACCUCACCACUGACUUAUUUGAGAACUGAGUCACUGGAGAAGUUAAUAUGAGGUCAUGCUAGAAUAAGGUAGGUCUCUCAUCCAGUAUGACCCAUGUCCUUCUGGAAAGACAAGUUCAGAGACAGCACAGAGAGCAAACAUCAUGUGACGGUACAGGCAGAGAUGAGGGCGAUGCUUCUACAAGUCAAGAGCACCAAAGAUUGUCAGCAAGCCACCAGAAGCCAAGGGAGAGGCAGGACCAGAUUCUCCCCCGCGGUGUCAGAAGAAACCAGUGCUACGACUCUUCAUCUGCAACUUCUUGCCUCCAGAACCAGAGGGUAAUACAUUUCUGUUGUUUGAGUCAUUCGUUUAUAGUACUCUGUUACAGCAGCACAAGGAAAUUAACGCAAGGGCUAAUGUGACUGAGCAAUUUGCAUUUCAGUCACAAACAAUUCACAAACUUGGUAUAUUAAAAAAGGCAGGGGUAGGGGAACAGGCUAACAUAUGAAAGGGCAUAGUGAAAAACAGAGGCUCAAGUCAACCCACUACAGUAUGCAGCACUAUACUGAACAUGAACAUGGUGAGUAGUGUUUUCAGAUGCCUUGUUUUCCCUGCAGUUCACAGCCACCUGCAGCUCAGAUCAGUGCCACUCGCCAAGCACACCUGCAAGUAAUAGCAAUAUCUGCCCAUCUAGUAUCAUCACCACCUUCUUUACCACGCUAAGCACCAGUUCCGUGGAAGCCAAGCAUUUCCCUCCCAGGUGCCCUUCAUAGCAACCCUACAAAGGCUGACAGGUGAUCCCUGCAUCACAAUGGACUGGUCAGAUUCUGUCAGUAAGCGUUUUUUGGUCCCCCAUCUAAUGACUUGCUUUGUUCCACUUUCAUCUUUCCAGAGUCAAUCAACAAGUGGGCCAACAGCUUAGAAUUGAGCUGAACAUCGUAUCAUCGCAACAAACAGCCUUGUGAUGCAACUGCACCUGUCUCGGCUACGCGUUACUAUGGAGAUGCUCUGGUUGCUAUGGCUACCAUCACGCUAAUCGCCUAGCAAAGGCAGACAUACAGCAGUCUACUCAGAGCCCAGCUGUUCCUCCCUGUCUCUUGCUGAAGACUGAUUGUUAGGGCCUGUGAAGGAAUGCUUCUCAACUGAGAAACACAAGAACUUCAUUAAUGCCAUUUCAGAGAAUCACUCUGUGCUCUUUCCUGCAGCACAAACAUCAGGCUCGGGAAAAAAAUCUGCAAGAAGUGGACUAGAGGGCUCCUGAAAUCUCUGACACCAUGCCAUUCCCAAUUAACAUGAACUUGUGGCCCAAGGAUACUGUGUCUUAACUGUGUAGUUACAACAGAAAUAUUUCUAAGCAUCUUUUUAAAAAAUUUUGUUGUGGCAGGGAUGUACCUCAAACCCAAGCACAAUGUAUAGACCAAAUCCACUUUUAAAUUUGGUUCUGUGUUCUACACCUCUUUCUUGGAAUCUAACAUUAAUACUGCUUUUCUAAACAGUGACAAGCUGCUUAACCCUCCAAUUACAUAUUUGUAGAAAUGGCACUCAUGACCUCACCAUCUCACGACAAAUGGGCAUGUGAAGAGGGAAAAAGUCUCCACUGUUCUCUGCUGCUCUGGAAGAGGCAAACACCAAGUAACCACAACAAAACUAUCACUCAGGAGCACCAUCUACAUGGAGACCGGGAGUGACAACAACUCAGUAAGCCUUCUCUCAACAUCUGUGGAGGCCGGCCAGGAUACAGCAAGACGAAAUCACUUGGUUGACCCACUCCAGCAUGUUCAUCCCGACAAAACCUACCACAGAGAGAUAUGAAAGAUGUCGACUUGUCUUUGUAAAUGUUUCUACCCAGAAAGACAUUAUUUUACCCACGAUGGAGCCUUCUGGAAACACAUUCCUUCAAAGCAGCAGAAGCGAACAACAUUUAUGCUUGGAAUGGAAUUCUGUAAUUAUCUUCCCCGAGAAACAAAAGCUCUCAGGCAACAAUGAGAAACCUAAGCCAGGACCCAAUAUUUGUUUUUUGGAUUCCUCAGUUCACAGCAACAUGCUCCAGCCCGUAACAAAUGAAUCUUUAGAAGUCAAACUUUAAAAUGCAACUUUUCUAGAACUGUUCCACUGAGCGAGGAAAGCUCCCUCAGAGGCCCACCUUGGGGCUGGGUGGAGGCAUCUAGCCUGAUCAGCAUAUUCAAAAGAACCUAGGUCCUCUGGGCCCCACUGGAACUGGCAAGAGGCUGAGGAGCAGUCACUCUCUGGCUGCAUGCUUUCAAGUGACCGAAUGGACCCAAACUGUUUGAUAAAGUCAUUUGUAAAUAUUAACUGAUUUGUAAAGAAAAGAAGUUAAAUUACCUAAACCCAUGCCUACUCCAUGGUUUCGGCCACAGACUCCCUUAUUUUCACAGCUACUGUACAACAGAAAGCCUGAUGUUGUCUUCCAACGUUCAGAAAGCAAACAAGAAAACCAUUUCACUCACAUGGGCUGGAGGGUGGGGAGGGGGAUGUCCAAGCAGAUACCACAAAAGGAGCAUUAAACAUCAAUUAUUCCUAAAAUCUUUUUUAAAAGUUUCAAUUUUUUAUAUUUCAGCCAUCAGUUCAAGUACUUUUCUUGCAAACUUUAUUAAUUUACAGUGCCCAUUAAAAUACUAUCAAUAACAUCAGUGUGCAGCAGCACAGGUGGAAUUAACUGUUUGGGGUGCGCUGGGCAUAGAAGAAUUGCACAAAGCCUCCGUCAGGUUGGCACAAGGGACCAUCCCAGUCACCCAGCCCCAGGCAAGGGCCGGACACGACACGGGUCUGGAUCAGGUGGACCUGUCUAUGCUGAACACCAAUGCUCCAAGUUUAACCAUCUGACUGGUUAAAGACCUGAAAGCCCGCCCGCUUUAGAAAAUGGAAUGCUCCUAUGCGGCCUUUCCUUUAUGUAUAUAUUUUUAAGUCCAGAAUGGUUCACAGGAUCUGAUGAGACCUCCCAAGUAAAACAGGCAAUCAAUGCCCUGGUUCUUCCUUCUUUUCUUGCAGAAAAAGCUUUGCAGCACACUUUCUAAAGCAAGUCAAAAGGUAAGGAGUGAAGAAAUGGGGGAGGAUGGGAAGAUCAAGAAUUACCAAAUUGGGCUAAGGUAAAACAAACCACCAAAGCUAUCAGCUCCUGUACCAUCAGCAGGAGGCUGGCCUGACUCCAUCAUCAAAGGCUCCCGUGGAGCCCUAAGCCAAGGACCAGGCCUUUUUGUCACAGGCACACAAGCAUGGUCCGCUCCAGGGAGGGCCACAGCUGCCGUGCAAACCUUUCUACAGUGAGAUUAUCUCAGUUCUAAGGCUUUUGUUUUCAUCAAGGUGACUUUCAGAGUGUCUUAUACCAAAAAGACCUAAGACAAAGCAAUUAAAAGCAACUGGGCCUCGUGGGUAACUAACUAGACUGUGGUUUCUCCUAAUCCUGACCCAAGUAUCUCAUUUACUAUAGUACGCCACUCUUCAGCAACUGCACAGAAUAAACCCGCAGAGCCCACAUGGAGUAACUAAACAAUAAUGGGCUAUUUGGGGCCACACAGCCAUGUCUUGGCUACAGCUCAUGGUGCGCAAAGUCCUGGCUCCCUCGCUGGGAAAAAAGUCAAGUAUGAGGCCCAGAGAUGUAAGAGUCAAGUACGAGGCCUUACCUUUGGGUACUCAAUGAAAGACAGGUGGCGUCAUAAAGAUCUCCUCUUUGACAGAAAAAAA